CCCUACGGGGGGCAGCAGUGAGGAAUAUUGGUCAAUGGACGAGAGUCUGAACCAGCCAAGUAGCGUGAAGGAUGACUGCCCUAUGGGUUGUAAACUUCUUUUAUAAAGGAAUAAAACGAGGCACGUGUGCCUUUUUGCAUGUACUUUAUGAAUAAGCAUCGGCUAACUCCGUGCCAGCAGCCGCGGUAAUACGGAGGAUGCGAGCGUUAUCCGGAUUCAUUGGGUUUAAAGGGUGCGCGGGCGGGCCUUUAAGCCGGCGGUGAAAUCGCGGGGCUCAACCCCGCCGAGCCGUCGGA
rnacentral:rRNA from 1 species